rnacentral:misc_RNA from 1 species
UUCUACCUCUCUUUCUAUUCCCUCCCAGCUUGCCGCCAGUCCCAUACGCCAGCGCCGAACUGGAAUUGAAGGGUUAAUGGCAUCAGUGAAGAGAAAGUCGGUUGAAGACCCAUCUGGGGAGCCUCUCCCUAUGCAGAAACAGCGGAGAGAGAAUGGUUCAGUGACUGCCAAUGAAUCGGUGGCCUGUGUUCAUGAUGUCUCAUAUCCAGAGGGUUAUAUUCCACCUCCUCGCCCAGGCUUUUCAGUUCAUAAGGACUCGAAGCCUGUAAAAGAAUUCCCAUUCACUCUGGACCCUUUUCAGUCUGAAGCUAUUAAGUGCCUUGAUAAUGGCGAGUCUGUUAUGGUUUCAGCACAUACAUCAGCUGGAAAAACUGUAGUGGCAUUAUAUGCUAUUGCUAUGUCUCUGAGAAAUCAGCAACGUGUCAUAUACACUUCACCCAUUAAGGCACUCAGCAAUCAAAAAUACAGAGAGUUCAAAGAAGAAUUCUCUGAUGUAGGUUUGAUGACUGGAGAUGUCACAAUUGAGCCUAAUUCUUCUUGCUUGGUGAUGACCACAGAAAUAUGGCGCAGUAUGCAGUAUAAAGGAUCUGAAAUUACUCGUGAGGUGGCUUGGGUCAUUUUUGAUGAAGUACAUUAUAUGCGUGAUCGUGAAAGAGGCGUGGUAUGGGAAGAAAGCAUUGUUAUGGCCCCAAAGAAUUCUAGAUUUGUGUUCCUCUCUGCAACUGUGCCUAAUGCAAAAGAAUUUGCUGAUUGGGUAGCAAAGGUUCACCAACAACCAUGUCACAUCGUUUAUACUGACUAUCGACCAACUCCUCUUCAGCAUUAUAUUUUUCCUGCCGGAGCUAAUGGUUUAUACUUAGUGGUGGAUGAAAAGGGGAAGUUUCGAGAGGACAGCUUUCAGAAAGCAUUGAAUGCACUUGUUCCUAAGAGUGAAGGUGAGAAGAAAAGGGAAAAUGGGAAGUGGCAAAAGGGUUUAGUGGUGGGUAAAAUUGGCGAAGAAAGUGACAUCUUUAAGAUGGUAAAAAUGAUCAUUCAGCGCCAGUAUGACCCAGUCAUUCUUUUCAGCUUUAGCAAACGAGAAUGUGAAUUUCUUGCCAUGCAGAUGGCAAAAAUGGAUCUAAAUGAGGAUGAUGAGAAAGUGAACAUAGAAACCAUUUUUUGGAGUGCCAUGGACAUGCUUUCUGAUGAUGACAAGAAACUACCUCAGGUUUCAAAUAUGUUACCCCUCUUAAAGCGGGGAAUAGGUGUGCAUCAUUCUGGCUUGCUUCCCAUUUUGAAAGAAGUGAUCGAGAUUUUAUUUCAAGAAGGGUUGAUCAAGGUUUAAUGAUUUAUUUUUGUGGUGAUGAUUGUGCAUAUCUUCUAAGAUUUUUUUAGUGUGGGUAUACCUUUUUGUAUUGUCUAACUGAGCGAAAUCAGACUUUUUUGUAAUUGAUGUUUUGCAUGAAAAUUUCUGGUUUUGCACUGUAACACAAGGUUGUCAGCUACUUCAACUCAGUUAGCUGAUGCAUCAUAGGCUACUCUCAUUCCAUUGGUUGUUUUUGUCUUGAGUUGUUGGUAAGGUCAUGCUUGGUUUUUUUUUUUGUCCUAAGAUGUUUUAAGGUUAUCAAACUGUAUUCUCCUCACCCUCCUCUCUCCCUUUCUCUUUGUCUCUCUCUUCUCCUUUCGUUAUUUAAUUUCUGAAAUUCCUUUAAAUUUUAAUACUAAUGAUUAAGGCAUACCUUCAUUGUUUUUUUGGUCAAGGAACAUUUUUCUAAUAUCCAUAUGUUGCCUGGUCCAUUAAUUUUUUUUCUUAUGUUCAGUCUCUUUUUUUUUUUUUCCUUUUUAAAUUAUAGUACCAUGAUGAUUGAAAAAUUUUCCUUUAGUGUCUGUUUGCUACAGAGACCUUUAGCAUAGGUUUGAACAUGCCUGCAAAAACUGUGGUAUUCACCAAUGUCCGUAAAUUUGAUGGAGACAAGUUCAGAUGGAUAUCUAGUGGAGAAUACAUCCAAAUGAGUGGCCGAGCUGGUCGUCGAGGAAUUGAUGAUCGUGGGAUAUGCAUCCUUAUGGUGGACGAGAAACUUGAGCCUCCUACUGCUAAAAUGAUGCUCAAAGGAAGUGCUGACAGUUUGAACAGUGCCUUCCAUUUAAGCUACAACAUGCUUUUAAAUCAAAUGCGCUGUGAAGAUGGGGAUCCUGAAAAUUUGCUGCGAAAUUCAUUCUAUCAAUUCCAAGCUGAUCGUGCUAUUCCUGAUCUUGAGAAACAAGUGAAAGUCCUUGAAGAAGAGAGGGACUCGAUGAUAAUUGAAGAAGAAGAUAAUCUAAAGAAUUAUUAUGAUCUGAUUCAACAAUACAAAAGUUUGAAGAAGGAUGUUUGUGAUAUUGUGUUUUCUCCAAAGUACUGCCUACCCUUUCUGCAGGCCGGUAGAAUUGUAUGCCUCCAAUGCACUGGGAUUGAUGAAAGCUCUCCAUCUUUCUCCAUUGAAGACAAAGUUACAUGGGGUGUGAUAAUCAAUUUUGACAGAGUCAAAAACUUUUCUGAAGAUGAUGCAAGUAGAAAGCCUGAAGAUUCAAACUACACAGUGGAUGUUCUUACAAGAUGUGUCGUGAGCAGAGAUGGAAUUGCGAAAAAGAAUAUCAAGAUUGUCCCAUUGAAAGAGUUUGGAGAGCCUCUUGUUGUUUCUGUUUCUAUCUCUGAGAUUACUAGUCUUAGUAGUGCUCGCUUGUACCUGUCGAAGGACCUUUUGCCUUUGGAAGUUCGAGAGAACACCUUAAAGAAGGUUUUAGAAAUUCUAUCUAGAAAUCCUACUGGACUGCCACUAGAUCCUGAAGGAGAUAUGAAGAUCCAAAGUAACUCAUACAAAAAGGCAGUCCGACGGAUAGAGGCUUUAGAGCACCUCUUUGAGAAGCAUGAAAUUGCAAAAUCUCCCCUUAUCGAGCAAAAACUCAAAGUUUUACACAAGAAGCAAGAAUUAACAGCCAAGAUUAAGUCAAUCAAGAAAACAAUGCGUUCUUCCACAUCUUUGGCUUUCAAAGACGAACUUAAAGCCAGAAAAAGAGUUCUUCGGAGGCUAGGAUAUGUUACAAGUGACGAUGUAGUGGAGUUGAAAGGAAAAGUAGCUUGUGAAAUUAGUAGUGCAGAUGAGUUGACCUUGACAGAGCUCAUGUUCAAUGGUGUUUUAAAGGACAUAAAGGUGGAGGAGAUGAUAUCUCUUCUUUCAUGUUUUGUGUGGCAAGAAAAGCUCCAGGAUGCUGCAAAACCUAGGGAAGAACUUGACUUGCUCUUUUCACAAUUACAAGAUACAGCUCGAAGAGUUGCCAAACUUCAGCUUGAAUGCAAGGUCCAAAUUGAUGUGGAGAAUUUUGUGAGUUCAUUUCGGCCUGAUAUUAUGGAGGCUGUAUAUGCUUGGGCAAAAGGAUCCAAAUUCUAUGAAAUCAUGGAAAUUACACAGGUUUUUGAGGGGAGUUUGAUCAGGGCAAUUAGGAGAUUGGAGGAAGUUCUUCAGCAGCUUAUACAAGCAGCAAAAUCCAUUGGCGAAACAGAGCUGGAGGCAAAAUUUGAAGAGGCUGUUUCAAAAAUCAAGAGAGACAUAGUGUUUGCAGCAUCUUUAUACUUAUAGUUAACUAGAGGUUUAAUUUCCUCCACGAUGCCGGAGAAAAUGGAAAAGGGUCUAAAUGAAGAUGGGCUGAAGCAUUGAAUUUACAUGGUCUGAAGCAAAUUCAUUCGUAUGAUGUGCUCCUUCUAAGUCAUUGUUGCUCCAACUGUGUACGCAGCUAGUAACAGGAGUGUAUUCUACUUCUAGAGCAAGGAAAGAUGAUAUUAGAGGCCCAAAUCACGGUUUAUAGCAGAAGAAAAAGAGGAACUCAAGUCUGCAACUGUUCUUGAUGCCCCUUUAUCCUCAACCCUCCAUAUUCUGGUACCAAUUGCUGCUGCCGCUGUUCUUUUGUUUUUUUUUUGGAGAUUCUUACUAAAGAGAGAGUUGAGAGGCUCCGUGGCGAUUUUGUUUGAGCAUUUAGUUCAUACAGUAGCAAAUGGAUUGUCAUUUAUACGUAGGAUAUAUAUUGUAACAACUGUAAAAUCAGCCAGCUUUGGUUGCAAUUUCGGUCUGAUAUUUAUUUAUUUAUUUUUUGCUUGCAAACAUUGAGAAUUUAAAAUUCCAUAUCUGCCCCUUUCGAUAAAAAAACUAAGCAC